UCCCCUGGCACACAGAAGCCUCUGGAAAUCAGCACCUCCAGUCACAUUCCCAGCUUGGAGCAGCUGCUGCUGCUGGGCAGAUGCUGCCAGUGUGAGUGCUUCCAAAGGGGACUAAAGGCAGAGAUGUACAUGCACAGGAGCCCUGGGCAUGUCCGAUAAACGUGCAAAUAUAUGGGGAGAUUUGUUAGCAAUUAUUUCAGCUGUUCUGCCAACAGUGGCUUCUCUCCUGGCUCUGUGUGUUACAGAUGAGUAACGUAAUGGUUGGCUCUCACAAUUAAGAGAUAGAUAUUAUAUGGAUGUAAAAAUGUAAAGUGAUGUUAUCGUAAUAUAUCCUCCCAUUGUCCUCUUUCCCCUCCCCCUUGUAAUAACCUUGGUAGUCAGGGCAUUUGGGGAGGGCUGGCUUGUGACCAGGAGGCGAGGUGUAAAACACCUGACGUCCAAUCAAGAUGUAAGAAAGUAAUCUCCAGCAAUGGAUAGCAGAGAAAGAGUUGACUGACCAAACUUUUGGAGGGGCUAAGGCUAUCAAAGGCAGAGUAUCUCUUUUGUAGAUGAGGAUGUGGCUGCAAGUCACAGAGACUGCCAGUUCUGAACAUUUUUCCUUGUUCAGUCCUUUGUUAAGGUUUAAUAAACCUUUAAAAUGUUCAAAGUGAGAGUCGUUUCUCACAUGUGCAAUGCUGUGGGCCAUUUUCUCGAUCUGGUUUCCUUUACAUGGGUCCCAUCUGAGUGCUCACUUGGGCUACAGGCUGUAGGUGCUUGGGGCACUCUUGGAGUUGCUCUUGGAUCCCUUGAACAAUGGGGUUUGGCCCAGGAGGGCAAUUUGUGCUGCUUUGUGGCAGAGGAGAACUUCCCAGGCUAUUUUGUGUUUGCUGUGGGGAAGGUUGGUUAUUGCUUUGCAUAAAGUCACAGACCAGCAUGGAGCGUUUGCUUUGUGAUGUCAGGGCAUGGUUGCCACGUCACAGUGGUGACAUGAGAAGGUUGCCUUGGUGCACGGAAGGCCUCAGUGUCAGAGCAGCCCUAGGGCUUGCUCAGAGCAGGAGCACCCUGCGCCUUGAGGCAUUUGUCAGUGGGCAGCUGCACACUGACAGGAGCCUUGUUUGUUCUAGUGUUGGAGCACAGUGUGCAAACUUGCACGGCAGUGCUACAAUGAUUCAGCAGCUUGCUGCUGCAGUGGUUACUGUUUAUGGCGUGACUUAUUCCGGCUAUUUUCUGACUCACCUGGCACUGCCUGAGAGGACUGGAUUUUCUUCACUCAAACCACAUGAUCUACCGAGGUCUGAAGAGCUGCAACAUCCUUCUCGGAACCAAUGGCUCUGUCAAGCUGGCUGACUUUGGCCUCUUUGCUCAGCUCACUCCUGAGCAGAGUAGACAAAGCUCCGUGGCCAGCACUUCUGGGUGGAUGGCGCCUGAAGUAGUGACAGGUCAACCAUACGGCCCCAAAGUGGACAUAUGGUCUUUUGGAAUUGUGGGCAUUGAAAUGGUGGAACGAGAAGCUCCUUACUGGAAAGAAACUUCUGGCAUGGUAAGGAGCAAAUACUGACUGAUCCCUCUGUCUUUCUCACCUGUCCCAUGUUCUGUGUGCCACUGGACAAAAUCCCGUUGCCAAAAUCUGCUGGCACCACUUCCACCAAGAUCCCCUCCUAAAAAUGUCCCUGCAGCACAUCAGCAUCUGCUGUAGCUUUGGUUGCAUCAGAAGGGAAGUGGCAGUUCAGAAACCUAAGCAGUUCAGACACAUAACCAGUUCAGGAACCUGCCAUUUAGGCCUCCAGCCAUGCCUGGCAUUUCUCAUUUGCUUUUUGAACAGUGUUGGAGCUCUGUCUCUGAAGGACAAAAAAUUUUCAGUGGAAUGGUUGGAUGUGUGAUAAAUACCCUUCAAAAUGGAGGUUCAAUCAUCCUAGUUUCAAUUGCACAGCAAAAGAAAACUGGAAAUUGAAAAGGAAGAGAAAAUGGAUAAGAAAAAAAGGAAAAAGAAGAGA